UACUCGAGUGGCGAACGGGUGAGUAACACGUGGGUGAUCUGCCCUGCACUUCGGGAUAAGCCUGGGAAACUGGGUCUAAUACCGGAUAGGAGCCAUUUCUAGUGUGAUGGUUGGAAAGUUUUUUCGGUGUAGGAUGAGCUCGCGGCCUAUCAGCUUGUUGGUGGGGUAAUGGCCUACCAAGGCGGCGACGGGUAGCCGGCCUGAGAGGGUGGACGGCCACAUUGGGACUGAGAUACGGCCCAG
rnacentral:rRNA from 1 species